AUGAACGCUAGCGACAGGCUUAACACAUGCAAGUCGAGGGGCAGCACAGGUAGCAAUACCGGGUGGCGACCGGCGCACGGGUGAGUAACGCGUAUGCAACUUACCUAUCAGAGGGGGAUAACCCGGCGAAAGUCGGACUAAUACCGCAUGAAGCAGGGGCCCCGCAUGGGGAUAUUUGCUAAAGAUUCAUCGCUGAUAGAUAGGCAUGCGUUCCAUUAGGCAGUUGGCGGGGUAACGGCCCACCAAACCGACGAUGGAUAGGGGUUCUGAGAGGAAGGUCCCCCACAUUGGUACUGAGACACGGACCAAACUCCUACGGGAGGCAGCAGUGAGGAAUAUUGGUCAAUGGCCGAGAGGCUGAACCAGCCAAGUCGCGUGAGGGAUGAAGGUUCUAUGGAUCGUAAACCUCUUUUAUAAGGGAAUAAAGUGCGGGACGUGUCCCGUUUUGUAUGUACCUUAUGAAUAAGGAUCGGCUAACUCCGUGCCAGCAGCCGCGGUAAUACGGAGGAUCCGAGCGUUAUCCGGAUUUAUUGGGUUUAAAGGGUGCGUAGGCGGCCCUUUAAGUCAGCGGUGAAAGUCUGUGGCUCAACCAUAGAAUUGCCGUUGAAACUGGGGGGCUUGAGUAUGUUUGAGGCAGGCGGAAUGCGUGGUGUAGCGGUGAAAUGCAUAGAUAUCACGCAGAACCCCGAUUGCGAAGGCAGCCUGCCAAGCCAUUACUGACGCUGAUGCACGAAAGCGUGGGGAUCAAACAGGAUUAGAUACCCUGGUAGUCCACGCAGUAAACGAUGAUCACUAGCUGUUUGCGAUACACUGUAAGCGGCACAGCGAAAGCGUUAAGUGAUCCACCUGGGGAGUACGCCGGCAACGGUGAAACUCAAAGGAAUUGACGGGGGCCCGCACAAGCGGAGGAACAUGUGGUUUAAUUCGAUGAUACGCGAGGAACCUUACCCGGGUUUGAACGCAUUCGGACCGAGGUGGAAACACCUUUUCUAGCAAUAGCCGUUUGCGAGGUGCUGCAUGGUUGUCGUCAGCUCGUGCCGUGAGGUGUCGGCUUAAGUGCCAUAACGAGCGCAACCCUUGCCACUAGUUACUAACAGGUAAAGCUGAGGACUCUGGUGGGACUGCCAGCGUAAGCUGCGAGGAAGGCGGGGAUGACGUCAAAUCAGCACGGCCCUUACAUCCGGGGCGACACACGUGUUACAAUGGCGUGGACAAAGGGAAGCCACCUGGCGACAGGGAGCGAAUCCCCAAACCACGUCUCAGUUCGGAUCGGAGUCUGCAACCCGACUCCGUGAAGCUGGAUUCGCUAGUAAUCGCGCAUCAGCCAUGGCGCGGUGAAUACGUUCCCGGGCCUUGUACACACCGCCCGUCAAGCCAUGGGAGCCGGGGGUACCUGAAGUCCGUAACCGCGAGGAUCGGCCUAGGGUAAAACUGGUGACUGGGGCU
rnacentral:rRNA from 1 species